rnacentral:hammerhead_ribozyme from 1 species
GCACUGCUGAGGAGUUCCACAAUAGGACGGAACGGCCGUUCAGUAC